UGUAUCUAAAGUAGCCUAAUCUUGAUUCGAGAUAACCGGCGAUUAACCUGCAACAUACGUUAAAAUAAUGUCAAUACAAAAAAAUGUAUUGGCGAGUAUACAGGUUUGACAUAGUAGUAAAAUAGGUAAAAGCGUUGCGAACUUCCACAUACAUAAACGAGUUGAAAGUGUUGUUGAACCGCUUGUUUGAUUGUGUGGCUUUCGCCUCCGGAUCAAGGGCACGUAGGCGGUGAAUCGGGUUGAAAGUGAAAGUCGCCAAAAAGUGGUGGAAUGCUCUGGAAACCAAUUCACUUGAGUGAGACAGAGGAGAGUGGAAUUUCGUGUGUAGGGGUGAAAUCCGUAAAUAUACGAAGGAACGCCAAAAGCGAAGGUAGCUCUUUGGGUCCCUACCGACGCUGGGGUGCGAAAGCAUGGGGAGCGAACAGGAUUAGAUACCCUGGUAGUCCAUGCCGUAAAAAUAUACUAACUAGACAAUCACUCAAGCUAAGUCCCG
rnacentral:lncRNA from 1 species